GGCUAAUGGUGCAGGCUGUUUUUUUGGGGGGGGGGCAUUGUUGUUGGACAUAAUGCAAACCAGAUUUGUGCUCCUUCUUCCUCCCCAAGGGCCUUAAAACAAUAGAGGGACGCCCCUAUUUCACCAACUAUCUGGAGAUUGUCUAUGAUCUCUGUCCUAGUCACGACUGCCAACAGCCUGGAUGUCAUAUCCACAGAUGAUGCAGUCUCUAUUGCACUCCACACUGCCCUUUCCCACCUGGACAAAAGGAACACCUAUGUGAGAAUACUAUUCAUUGACUAC
rnacentral:lncRNA from 1 species